CCUACGGGUGGCUGCAGUGGGGAAUAUUGGACAAUGGGGGCAACCCUGAUCCAGCCAUGCCGCGUGUGUGAAGAAGGCCCUCGGGUUGUAAAGCACUUUCAGUGAGGAAGAACGCCUGGUGGUUAAUACCCAUCAGGAAAGACAUCACUCACAGAAGAAGCACCGGCUAACUCCGUGCCAGCAGCCGCGGUAAUACGGAGGGUGCGAGCGUUAAUCGGAAUUACUGGGCGUAAAGCGCGCGUAGGUGGCUUGAUAAGCCGGGUUGUGAAAGCCCCGGGCUCAACCUGGGAACGGCAUCCGGAACUGUCAAGCUAGAGUGCAGGAGAGGAAGGUAGAAUUCCCGGUGUAGCGGUGAAAUGCGUAGAGAUCGGGAGGAAUACCAGUGGCGAAGGCGGCCUUCUGGACUGACACUGACACUGAGGUGCGAAAGCGUGGGUAGCAAACAGGAUUAGAUACCCGAGUAGUC
rnacentral:rRNA from 1 species